AUGAACGCUGGCGGCGUGCCUAAUCCAUGCCAGUCGAGCGAACGGACGAGAAGCUUGCUUCUCUGAUGUUAGCGGCGGACGGGUGAGUAACACGUGGAUAACCUACCUAUAAGACUGGGAUAACUUCGGGAAACCGUAGCUAAUACCGGAUAAUAUUUUGAACCGCAUGGUUCAAAAGUGAAAGACGGUCUUGCUGUCACUUAUAGAUGGAUCCGCGCUGCAUUAGCUAGUUGGUAAGGUAACGGCUUACCAAGGCAACGACGCAUAGCCGACCUGAGAGGGUGAUCGGCCACACUGGAACUGAGACACGGUCCAGACUCCUACGGGAGGCAGCAGUAGGGAAUCUUCCGCAAUGGGCGAAAGCCUGACGGAGCAACGCCGCGUGAGUGAUGAAGGUCUUCGGAUCGUAAAACUCUGUUAUUAGGGAAGAACAUAUGUGUAAGUAACUGUGCACAUCUUGACGGUACCUAAUCAGAAAGCCACGGCUAACUACGUG
rnacentral:rRNA from 1 species